rnacentral:tRNA from 1 species
UGGGUUGUGGCUCAGUGGUAGAGCGCUUGCCUAGCAUGCGUGAGGCACUGGGUUCAAUCUCAGCACCACUG